AAAGUCGUCGUGGUGCAUGUGGAUGGCAGCAAGGAUAAGGAUAAGCUAUAGUUGUUUAAAUUAAAAGCAAUUAUCAUUGUUAAUUUAUUAUACUCGACGUUCAUAUUGGGAGAUAUUCUAUCGAUAAGUUGAGCUUGUUCAUAGAAAUAAUAUCACUGACCUUAAUAGAAAGCAGAUCCACAAAUUUCAAUACUAGAUCAGAGAACUAAGAAUGGCACAAAGUCUUAUCAACAUAUUUAGCGUGGUCUUUCUUUUGGUUCUGAUGAUUAUGCUAUCUUCUACUCCGCAGAUGGCGAGCGGUUCUACUCUUGGCACAAUUGCCACUACUAUCAAGGCCGUCUUCACAGGCGGAGAGGCAUCCAACCAAAAAACCCGUACUUAAAAUCCCAACGGAUACCGUAAGAGUACGGUGUAGGGGAUGAUAAGGUAGAUAUGUCUGAAACAAGUUGCAAGUUCUCCGCCAUUUAGAAGACAUCUGUUUUCUUAAUUUCCUCCGUCUGCUUGAUUUGUUUUAUCUGUGUCAUAAAUAAAAAGGUGAUCUUAUCUAUAUAAUAAAGUGUUUUGUUCAUCUAUAAAGUAAUAAGUGUUUUGUUCA